CAGUAGCCGCGGUAAUACGAAGGGUGCAAGCGUUACUCGGAAUUACUGGGCGUAAAGCGUGCGUAGGUGGUGGUUUAAGUCCGUUGUGAAAGCCCUGGGCUCAACCUGGGAAUUGCAGUGGAUACUGGGUCACUAGAGUGUGGUAGAGGGUAGUGGAAUUUCCGGUGUAGCAGUGAAAUGCGUAGAGAUCGGAAGGAACAUCUGUGGCGAAGGCGACUAUCUGGGCCAACACUGACACUGAGGCACGAAAGCGUGGGGAGCAAACAGGAUUAGAUACCCCCGUAGUCCCUGUCUCUUAUAC
rnacentral:rRNA from 1 species